UGAGGGUUUAAAAUUUCAGCAAGAUCUGAAGUUAAACUUCCAGAAACAUUUACUAUAUAUAGGUUUAGUGCUUAAGAAACAAAGAGUGGGUGUCCUGGGAUUUUGAAAACCCCAGUCUGGUUAGGGCACUGGGACUGUAGGGACAGAGAAGGUGGGGUGCCUUUCCUCCCCAUCAUAAGGGUCACAGCUGACACACCUGUAGCAAAAGACAGGUUAGCAAGAAAAAAGCAUAACAGAUUUAUUUAAUUAAAGGUUUCUGUGACAUGAGCGUCUUCAGAAAUGAAGACCCAAAAACUCAAGGAAAACUGUUUAUUUUUAGGCUUAGAUUCUAUGAAGACCAUGGAAAUGCGCAGAAAUGUGAGUAGAGAAAAAGGGAAUGGUCUAAUAGUAAUAAACUGAGUGGGAAACCCAGCAAGGCUUGGCAGUUUGUAUUCUUGGCCUAUCUGUGGCUAAACCACCUGGUUUAGAAGCAGAAAAUAAAUUUGCUCCCUGUGUAGUCUUUAACAUGUGGCAGUUCCUCUCUGGGCCUCAGCUUCCUCAGCUGUGUAAUGAUGGGAUCGAUUUGUGAUCUCCAGUGCCCUUCUGACUCUGGCUAGAUGACUUGUUUCUAAAGUAAGUGACAGACCGAGACCAGGAGUCCUUUGAGAAUAGGGCCCAUAAUCACUACCUGGCACAGGACCUAGCACACAACAGAUGUAAAAUAUUUGCUGACUUAAUCAUUCAUUACAUUAAAAAACAAAAUCUCCGUGGAACACUUAUGAUCAGGCCAGGCAGUUCUAGGGCUGGGCUGUCUAGGUAUGAUCCUGUCCACAGAUGGGGAAUGUGUUAGGAAUCAGUCUCAAAUCUGACCACCAGAGUCAACUGGGAAGCCUUUAAUACAGAUUCCUGGACCCCACUUUGGAGUCAUUGCAUUAGAAUCUCUAGGGGCAGAAGCUGAGAAUCUGCCUUCAGACAUGUUCUAAAGGUUACUGUGAGGCAGUUGGCCUGGCUAUAGCCUUGAUAGUGUGAGUCCUAGGAUUAAGUGCCUUCUAGAACUUUCUUCUGACCAAGAAAUGCCUUGAGAAACCAUGCCUUUACUAUGAUUAAAGGUAUUAACAUCCCCAUUGGAAUUUGGAAGAUGUCUCUCAAGUUUUGCAUUCUCUGUGAAGUCUUCCCACCUCGAACCACAGCCUGUUGAAGUGGAAGGAACCUCAGAGGCCAGGAAGUCUUUAGCUGAGUUAAAGCCUGGGAGCAUAUGAACAAUGGCUGACACACAGGUAAAGCUGAAGGUUCAAACAAGUGGUGGAAGGAGUGUAGAAAUUAAUCUCGCAGAAGUGGUUCUCUGUGUGAGAAACAUUGGCCUGACCACCUGACUUUCUGAUCACAUUCUGCUGGGAAAAAGUCCAAGGAACAUCACUGUCACACUCUGCUGGAACAAGGACCAAGUCACCUAAUCAUGGGAACAUCUUAUCAAUAGCCUGUUGGGCAGCAAGCCAUACUGUCCAGACCCCUCCCUCUCAUACCUGCAGAACUCCCUUGUCCAGGCAGCCACCCAGAAACACAGUGAUACCAUCCUUCUCCUCCACCAAGUCCGGUAUCAGCACCUCCAGGAAAACAGCUCUGAAGUUGGACACCCACUGCUUCAAAACCCAAGCCCUGAUUACAGUGCCCCUAUUCAGCAGGGGAAUCAACAAUGCCCCUCUUCCUUUUAGACGAAAGUAGAAGGCAAGAAUGUUAAUCCAAAC